GGCUGUAGCACAGUGGUAGAGUGCUUGCCUAGUGUGUGAGGCACUGGGUUCAAUUCUCAGCACCA
rnacentral:tRNA from 1 species